CUGUCAACACACGACUAGAUUCCACAUCGAACGGCUAUAUCGCGCUCUCGGCAUGCUGAAAAAGGUCAACUUACGGAUGGCACAAAGGUAUUCCCACCACAGGUUAGCACCCCACCCACACCCUUUGCUGAUCGGGAAACUUUGGAAAAGGAAUUGAAGGCCCUUGAGCAAGAUUUGGGUGACUUGAGAUCACUCACCAACCCAAGUUGGCUCGAGCAGGAUACUGUAGCCAGCUACUCUGAUUCGACUACCACGGGAGCGAGUGACACGGAGGACAGCACAUCGCUGAGCAGUCUCAACACCAGCAUCACCUCCAACGACUCUCUCUUUUCCCCACUCAAUGGAUCGGGCAUCAAUAGAGGCUCAGGUGGCAAUGGAGGCACCAAAGGCCCCAGCUUCACCCUAGCAGCCCUCCGCCAGCUUGGUAUUCAUCUAGAAGAUGCUUA